rnacentral:rRNA from 1 species
UACGAAGGGGGCUAGCGUUGCUCGGAAUUACUGGGCGUAAAGCGCACGUAGGCGGCUCUUUAAGUCGGGGGUGAAAUCCUGGAGCUCAACUCCAGAACUGCCUUCGAUACUGUAGAGCUUGAGUUCGGGAGAGGUGAGUGGAACUGCGAGUGUAGAGGUGAAAUUCGUAGAUAUUCGCAAGAACACCAGUGGCGAAGGCGGCUCACUGGCCCGAUACUGACGCUGAGGCGCGAAAGCUAGGGGAGCAAACGGG